UACGGAGGGAGCUAGCGUUGUUCGGAAUUACUGGGCGUAAAGCGCACGUAGGCGGCUUUUCAAGUCAGGGGUGAAAUCCCGGGGCUCAACCUCGGAACUGCCCUUGAAACUGGAAGGCUAGAAUCCUGGAGAGGCGAGUGGAAUUCCGAGUGUAGAGGUGAAAUUCGUAGAUAUUCGGAAGAACACCAGUGGCGAAGGCGACUCGCUGGACAGGUAUUGACGCUGAGGUGCGAAAGCGUGGGGAGCAAACAGGAUUAGAAACCCUGGUAGU
rnacentral:rRNA from 1 species